CUUGACAAAAUAUAAGAGGUCCAGCCUGCCCAGUGAUAAAUUUAACGGCCGCGGUAUCCUAACCGUGCGAAGGUAGCAUAAUCAUUUGUUCUUUAAAUGGGGACUUGUAUCAACGGCACCACGAGGGCCAUACUGUCUCCUUUCUCUAGUCAGUGAAACUGAUCUCCCCGUGAAGAAGCGGGGAUUUAACUAUUAGACGAGAAGACCCCAUGGAGCUUAAAACUCACUAUAUAAUUCUGUACCUUAUACCACCUUAAUUCAGAAUCCUAUAUACUAGUUUUAGGUUGGGGGGACCUCGGAGUAUAAUUUAACCUCCAUAACAAAUGGGCUAAUACCCUUAUCCAAGAUAAACACCUCUAAGAAUUAUCAAAUUAAUGUUUAAUGACCCGAUAUAUUCGAUCAAUGAAC
rnacentral:rRNA from 1 species